CUGGGGGUGAAAGGCCAAUCAAACCGGGAGAUAGCUGGUUCUCCCCGAAAGCUAUUUAGGUAGCGCCUCGUGAAUUCAUCUCCGGGGGUAGAGCACUGUUUCGGCUAGGGGGCCAUCCCGGCUUACCAACCCGAUGCAAACUGCGAAUACCGGAGAAUGUUAUCACGGGAGACACACGGCGGGUGCUAACGUCCGUCGUGAAGAGGGAAACAACCCAGACCGCCAGCUAAGGUCCCAAAGUCAUGGUUAAGUGGGAAACGAUGUGGGAAGGCCCAGACAGCCAGGAUGUUGGCUUAGAAGCAGCCAUCAUUUAAAGAAAGCGUAAUAGCUCACUGGUCGAGUCGGCCUGCGCGGAAGAUGUAACGGGGCUAAACCAUGCACCGAAGCUGCGGCAGCGAACGUAUCACCCAAGACAACUUUACGGAGUUGACGAUUGACGGAGCGAAGCGACGUCAAAGCGUUCAUUAAAGUCGAGUUGGCUUAGGGAUACGUUCGUUGGGUAGGGGAGCGUUCUGUAAGCCUGUGAAGGUGUGUCGUGAGGCAUGCUGGAGGUAUCAGAAGUGCGAAUGCUGACAUAAGUAACGAUAAAGCGGGUGAAAAGCCCGCUCGCCGGAAGACCAAGGGUUCC
rnacentral:rRNA from 1 species